UUCAAAUACUUAAGACAUUGGCUCGAAUCUAGGUUUUGCCUUUAGAUUUAGAGAAAAUGUACAACUAAGGAGGAAUUUUUCACUUCUGACUUCUCAAACCCCAAAUCACAGCAUCAGUCUAGUUCCUACAGUCUGCUUCCCCAGCGGUCCCAGUAGACUCGGGAUGUUGGUCUCUGGGUUUAGGAAUUCUGUUAUGUCAUUUCCCCAUGAAGUUGAAAGUAAGUUUGUGGGCUAAUGCACGUACAAAAGGGAUGUUGAAACUGUGGCGCACAUUUCUCGGCAACAUUAGAAGUCGGGUAAAAGUAUUGAUUUGAAGGAAAGACGAGCAGACUGGCUGGUUGAAUGAGUUGCCUGUGAAAGCUACUUCAUCUGCAAGAAAACAGGUGGCUGCACCAGUGACUGGGUCAGUGCUCUAAAAUGAGUCUCUCUGGGGAGAGGAAGGAGGGGGGCCCUGCCUCUAAAAUGAGUCUCUCUGGGGACAGAGAGGAGGGGGGCCCUGCCUCUAAAAUGCAUCUCUCUGGGGAGAGAGAGGAGGGACCUGCCUCUAAAAUGAGUCUCUCUGGGGAGAGGAAGGAGGGCCCUGCCUCUAAAAUGAGUCUCUCUGGGGAGAGAGAGGAGGGACCUGCCUCUAAAAUGAGUCUCUCUGGGGAGAGGAAGGAGGGGGGCCCUGCCUCUAAAAUUAGACUCUCUAGGGAACAUGACACCAAAGCCAAGAGUCCAAUCAAGCAGGAGAGACCAGCCUCCCCUGUUCCCAGCUGUGUGUCCAUGAAGAG